GAUGAACGCUGGCGGCGUGCCUAAUACAUGCAAGUCGAACGCACAGCGAAAGGUGCUUGCACCUUUCAAGUGAGUGGCGAACGGGUGAGUAACACGUGGACAACCUGCCUCAAGGCUGGGGAUAACAUUUGGAAACAGAUGCUAAUACCGAAUAAAACUCAGUGUCGCAUGACACAAAGUUAAAAGGCGCUUUGGCGUCACCUAGAGAUGGAUCCGCGGUGCAUUAGUUAGUUGGUGGGGUAAAGGCCUACCAAGACAAUGAUGCAUAGCCGAAUUGAGAGACUGCUCGGCCACAUUGGGACUGAGACACGGCCCAAACUCCUACGGGAGGCUGCAGUAGGGAAUCUUCCACAAUGGGCGAAAGCCUGAUGGAGCAACGCCGCGUGUGUGAUGAAGGCUUUCGGGUCGUAAAGCACUGUUGUAUGGGAAGAACAGCUAGAAUAGGGAAUGAUUUUAGUUUGACGGUACCAUACCAGAAAGGGACGGCUAAAUACGUGCCAGCCGCCGCCGUAA
rnacentral:rRNA from 1 species